AGUCGAGGGGUAUAGUUCUUCGGAGCUAGAGACCGGCGCACGGGUGCGUAACGCGUAUGCAAUCUGCCUUUCACAGAGGGAUAGCCCAGAGAAAUUUGGAUUAAUACCUCAUAGUAUUAUGGAAGGGCAUCCUUUUAUAAUUAAAGUCACAACGGUGAAAGAUGAGCAUGCGUCCCAUUAGCUAGUUGGUAAGGUAACGGCUUACCAAGGCAACGAUGGGUAGGGGUCCUGAGAGGGAGAUCCCCCACACUGGUACUGAGACACGGACCAGACUCCUACGGGAGGCAGCAGUGAGGAAUAUUGGUCAAUGGGCGCAAGCCUGAACCAGCCAUGCCGCGUGCAGGAUGACGGUCCUAUGGAUUGUAAACUGCUUUUGUACGAGAAGAAACACUGAUUCGUGAAUCAGCUUGACGGUAUCGUAAGAAUAAGGAUCGGCUAACUCCGUGCCAGCAGCCGCGGUAAUACGGAGGAUCCAAGCGUUAUCCGGAAUCAUUGGGUUUAAAGGGUCCGUAGGCGGUUUAGUAAGUCAGUGGUGAAAGCCCAUCGCUCAACGGUGGAACGGCUAUUGAUACUGCUGAACUUGAAUUAUUAGGAAGUAACUAGAAUAUGUAGUGUAGCGGUGAAAUGCUUAGAUAUUACAUGGAAUACCAAUUGCGAAGGCAGGUUACUACUAAUGGAUUGACGCUGAUGGACGAAAGCGUGGGGAGCGAACAGGAUUAGAUACCCUGGUAGUCCACGCCGUAAACGAU
rnacentral:rRNA from 1 species